UACGGGGGGAGCAAGCGUUGUUCGGAUUUACUGGGCGUAAAGGGCGCGUAGGCGGUAUGACAAGUCACUUGUGAAAUCUCCGGGCUUAACUCGGAACGGCCAAGUGAAACUGUCAAACUAGAGUGCGGAAGGGGCAAUCGGAAUUCUUGGUGUAGCGGUGAAAUGCGUAGAUAUCAAGAGGAACACCUGAGGUGAAGACGGGUUGCUGGGCCGACACUGACGCUGAUGCGCGAAAGCCAGGGGAGCAAACGGG
rnacentral:rRNA from 1 species